GUCUCUUCGAUGUAAAAAUAUGGGGAGUCGGCCCUGCCCGGUGGUGUCGUGCUUAACGGUCGCAAUGAAUAGUUGUGCUAAGGUAGCGCAGUCAAUUGUCCUUUAAUUGGGGAAAGGAAUGAAAGGGUUGACGAGGGGGAGGCUGUCUUUGUAAUAUAAUUUGAAAUUUUCUUUUACGUGAAAAGACUUAAAUUUUAAAAUAAGAAGAGAAGACCCCGGCGAGCUUGUUAAGGGUUGUUAAAUGAAAAUGACCAUUGAGGUUUGUUGGGGCAACGCAAAGGGAAGAAAACUCCUUUGAACGUGAUAAGGAUCCACUAAGAGUGAAUAAAGCAAAAGCUACCGCGGGGAUAACAGCGCAAUUUUCUUAGAGAGUUCAUAUCGAAGAGAAAGUUUGCGACCUCGAUGUUGGAUUAAGAUUUCCUUUUGGUGCAGGAGUUAAAAAGGUGGGACUGUUCGUCCUUUAAAAUUUUACA
rnacentral:rRNA from 1 species